AAGUCGUAACAAGGUCUCCGUUGGUGAACCAGCGGAGGGAUCAUUACAGAGUUGCAAAACUCCCCCAAACCAUCGCGAACCCAACCCCUAAACAGUUGCUUCGGCGGCGCCCCGAAGGCCCUCAGCGGCCGGAGUGGCCCGCCGGGGACCCCCCAAACUCUUGUUUUUAGCAAAAUGGCCUCUCUGAGUUACUGUACUUUAAUAAGUCAAAACUUUCAACAACGGAUCUCUUGGUUCUG
rnacentral:misc_RNA from 1 species